rnacentral:misc_RNA from 1 species
AAUGUUAUUUGUCCUUCAAACUUUAAAAUGAAAUCAAAUAAAAUUAAAUUUUGAGAUGGUAUCCUUGUGCAUUUUAAAAAGUUAUUGCAAAGCCCAUGAUAAAUAUACUGGAAUAAUAAAACAAGUUGAGAUAAAAAAAAGAAAAAAAAGAAAAAAGGUUGUAUCGAUGGCUCGAACCCAAUCAUUUCUUUGAAUGCUAACACUAGAAAACCAAUCAAAUUUGUGUAUAUAAAAGGCAGAUGUUUGGAAUGAAUAAAGAGAAAAUCUGAUAAAUUGGAGAUAUCGGACAUGGCUGAGGGUCGGAAAUUGUUAAGUGUAUGCUAAAUUGACAAAGAUGUAUCCAAAAUCAUACAUUUCUGAUAUGUACCAUAUGUUGAUAAUAAAAUCGUUGAUAUAAAUUCUGUAAGUUAUGGUUGGUUUUUUUUAAUAUGCUUGAAAUGUAUAUUCCACUUUUUCCCCAACUUUUUUCGUCUGGUUUUAUGAUGCAUUUUUUACUGUAUCCCCUCAUAUAUAAUGUGUUUUAUUUGCCGACUAUGUACAUUCUCAGUGAUGUUUUAAUAAAGACUAUUUCCAGU